rnacentral:misc_RNA from 1 species
GAUGAAGAACGCAGCGAAAUGCGAUACGUAAUGUGAAUUGCAGAAUUCAGUGAAUCAUCGAGUCUUUGAACGCACAUUGCGCCCCCUGGUAUUCCGGGGGGCAUGCCUGUCCGAGCGUCAUUGCUGCCCUCAAGCACGGCUUGUGUGUUGGGCCUCCGUCCUCCUCCCGGGGGACGGGCCCGAAAGGCAGCGGCGGCACCGCGUCCGGUCCUCGAGCGUAUGGGGCUUCGUCACCCGCUCUUGUAGGCCCGGCCGGCGCUUGCCGACACAUCAAUCUUUUUUCCAGGUUGACCUCGGAUCAGGUAGGGAUACCCGCUGAACUUAAGCAUAUCAAUAAGCGA